CUAAUGCAUAUGAUUUUGAUGUCAUUAACAUAAUUUUGUCCAUACCAGAACGAUCAGUGUGCAGAUAAUAUUUAAGGACGUCGUUGGUCAGAUCCAGAUUCCUGUAAGUGUGGACAUGGUUUAUGCAUUUUCCUAUUGACAAAGAGAACCAUGAACGAGGUCAUUUUAUUAAUACUACUUGUAGCAGUAUGUAUGGUGAAGUCUCAAACAGAAACACCAGCAGAAAAUAAACCGAUAUCUACACAGCCCCCGGGAGGAGUCAGGCCCUGGGGAUUUUCCCGAAGAGCACAGCCCAUGAGACAAUAUGAUAGUAAUAGUUAUUACUACGACUAUUAUGGUAUGAAUAGAGGGUGCACUUGUACGCCGUUCCCAUGCCGUCGCAGAUUUGGAUUGAGAGGGCGCUGUAGAACCUCUAGAUUUCAACGGCCAGGUUUCCGUUGCUGCUAUUUUGGAUUCCGAAAUGGAUAUGGAGAUUAUGAUUUUGAUCUAUAUGACUAAAUUCGUGAUAUGCAUACAAACGCCAGCCUGUUGUGGAAGAUGAACUACAUAAUUUGUAAAACAAACCUCACAUUACGGAAAAAAUAUUACAUAGCACGUAUGAAAAAUAUUGAAUAAUGUCAUUAUGUGGGAUAGUUAUAUACUAAGAGAUAAUGUAUUGGACAAUCAGUCGGGGAUUCAAAUUUAUUGCAAAUUAGUUUUUUAAAUGAGUUUCAUUGUUACAUAGUAGACUGUUGCACUCUCGCGAAAAUUAUCCUUUCUUGAAACGAAACUCGCAAAAAACAAAAAUUAAGCGACUAACAUUAUACUCACUUGCCUGUAAAUCGAAUAAAUAGUUUAAUCUAUAAAUUUACUAUGCAAACCACAGUGCAAAUUGUUUAUAAUAAGUGUUGUCUGUUAUUUGUAUGCUGACAUGUUAAAAACAAAUGUAUACAACAGAAAAUAAAAAAUAUCAAACUA
rnacentral:lncRNA from 1 species